rnacentral:lncRNA from 1 species
AUGUCCAGAGAGGCUGGAGGGAUGUCUGUGAACCAGAGGAAACACCAGGGGAUCCUGUGUGAAGCACCGGGGCUUCAGCUGGGGUGGGAGGAGUGGGUGGGCCUCUCUCUAAUGACUUAUCCUGAUGUUUGUGUUUUAAAGAUCUGUUUUUGGAGAGCAUAUCCGAUGAUGAGGAUUUGUAGAUCAUCCAUGACUGGGGACUUUAUCACAGCUGGGACUUCAUUUAUGGCUGGGGACUUCAUUUAUGACUGGAGACUUCAUUCACAUCUGGCAUCUUCAUCUACAGCUGGAAGCUAUAUCCGCAGCUGAGGCAUCAUUUCUGGCUGGGGGCAUUAUCCACGGCUGGGAUUUCAUCCAUGUCUGGAGGCAUCAUCCAUGGCUGAGGAGUUCAUCUGCAGCUGUUUUGCCAGAUCUGUAUCUGAGUCCCAGAUACAGAUUAUUAAGCCUAGUAAUUGUAUUGAGUUCCACUUUUAUAGUUUUGUAGUUUUAGUUUCAUAAGUUGUUUGUUGAUAAUUUAAUGAAAUAAACUAAAUCAGAAUUACCCCCUUUUAAUUAUUUCCUUGUGUCAAUAUAGAAAUAAUGGAUUUAAGGAAACACUGAGAUGCCCCUGUCUGUGUUUGUGAAUGAGAGUGUUGGGUGUAAAGCCUUUCUCUGGCUUCCAGAAGAUCGCCCCACCUUACACUUGCUUUCUGCGGGUUCCAGAGGCUUCCAUUUGAAAGGGGCCUCUCUUCCCCACUCUGCCACACCCCACACCAGCUCUCCUGUAACCCAUUGACUUUGUAAACGCUUUCUUCCACCUGCACCUCAUUGAAUUCAAGACUUUGGAAAAUAGUCAAAAAUUCUAAAAAGGUGGGAGUGGGUGUGAUCUGGAAAUCCAUGCUGUAUUAUUUUUAAGGGAAUCUACUGGAAACUAUUAGUUUAUGUUUUAAAUAAAACCAUCCCUUAGCGCUAGAAUAUCAAGCCCUUCAUUUUUAACAGAACUUUGAGAUAUAAUUCAAAUACCAUAAAUUUCACCCCCACACAGUGUACACACAAUUCAAUGGUUUCUAAUAUAUUCACAGAGGUCUGCAAAAAUUACCACAGUUGAAUUUUAGACAAUAUCAUUUAUUGACAUCCUUACAUGCAUAUAGAUGUAGAUAUAUAUAAUUUUAAUAUCAUCUUGAAUAUUGUCGUAUUUAAUAAUUGUACUAUACUAUUAUCUAUUUGUGUCUUUAUAUUGCUGUUUUAUUUUGUUAUUCGGAAUGACGAUGAUCUCCAUGUACCUUUAUACAGGUUUAAAAUACACCUUUUUACAACUUGAGAAAUUAAAUUGUUUCUAGUAAAUCACAUAAGAAACACAUAUGCUAUUGUUAUAACAAUUCAAAUACUGCUUAGGUCUGUAGAAUGAACUGUAUCACCGCCAGCACCCAGCCCACUCAGUCAUCCACAUCCACUUACACACAGAUAGACAUGCCCAUGUUUUUACAUAAUCCUGCUUUGUGUGUUGUUUCCUGACUGGUUUUUCCAUAUAAAAUAGAAUUUGGUGAUCAUUGCUUAUCAGUACAUGUAGGUCUCUCUCACUCUUACUUAUAGUUGCAUAAUUAAUCAACAGGUUAUUUUACCAUAAUUUGGUCACUUUUUCACUGUGGAAUUUUUUGUUGGAUUCAGUUAUUUGUUACUGUUACCUACACUAUCCUGGGUAUACCUGUAUAUUCAUCUUUUUGGUACUUAAGUGUGUUUUUUCUUUUAUGAUUGAUUUCUAAAAAUAAAAUACUGAGGCAAAGUAUGAAUCUUUAUUUUUUUAUUUUUUAUUUUGUUGAGACGGAGUCGUGCUCUGUCGCCCAGGCUGGAGUGCAGUGGUGUAAUCUUGGCUCACUGCAAGCUCGGCCUCCCAGGUUCACACCAUUCUCCCGCUUCAGCCUCCUUAAGUAGCUGGGAUUACAGGUGCCCACCACCACACCUGGCAAAUUUUUUUUUUUUUGUAUUUUUACAAAUAGCACGGGGUUUUACCGUGUUGGCCAGGAUGGUCUCGAUCUCCUGACCUCGUAAUCUGCCUGCCUCGGCCUCCCAAAGUGCUGGAAUUACAGGUGUGAGGCACUGUGCCUGGCCAUAUUUUGAUACAAAAUUAAAAAUCUGUUUCAAAAAACUGUAAUGAUAUUAUACUCCUACCAUCAGUACAUGAGAGUUCCUAUUUCCACACACCUUUAAUUACAGAGGAAAUGACCAAUGCUAAUCUUGGUCAAUUUUAUGAUUAAGAAAUAUUUCCACAUUUAAUUUGGAUUUCUCCACUUAUUAGAGAGAUUGUGCAUUUUUGCACAUGUUUACUGGCCAUUUGUAUUUCUCGCUGAGAAUUUCAUGAUAUGUUUUAUUAGUUUUCUAAUUCAUGUAAUUAUCGAUACUCUAUGUAUUCUGCACAUUUAUUCCACAUAAUUAGCAAGUUUGUUUCUUAAGGUCUGUGUCAUUACUUUUGUUUAUAUUGUCUUUGUUUUGAGGAAACUUUCAUUUUUACAUGGCCAAAUUGUUAAAUAUUUUCCCUACUAUUUCUGAAUUUUGUGACUUGCUCCCAAUAGUAAAUCCUUUUAGGGCUUUAUUGAUUUGUUUAAAGAACGUGCUCAAAUCUUCUACUAUUUAGUAAUUUACUUUCUCCCAUUAUAGUACAUGGACAUCGCUAAUUCCAACUAAUGUAGAUCAAAUGUAUCAUUUGAAUUUCUGUGUAGUAAUGCGCAUUAUAGAUAAGUUCUGAUUUUUUUUAACUCUUCCCUAUUAGAUGGAUAUUAAGGUUGUUUUUAAAAAUUCCCAUCACUAAUGACUUUUCAAUAAUCAUCAAUAUACGUGGAUCCCACUGAUGUUUUUGUUUAUAUUUCUUCUUUUCUAUAGUAUAGGAUUCUCAAAGUGGUAUAACUGACCUAUGAUACAUUUUAAUUAUAAUUUUAAUUAUACUGGCAUAUUACUUUCCAAAAAGUUGAUCAGCUCACACUCUUAUCAACUACAUAAGUAAGCCUUUUCCUAUGUAGGCUAAAUAACACAAAAAGAUUUUUUUUAAUAAAAAUGCUAAUUUGGCUGGUGAAAAAUCCCAUAGGUGCUUUAAUCAUUUUUUUUCUAUUUCAAUUAGUUGCCUAUUCAUAACCUGUGUGUGUGUGUGUGUGUGUGUGUGUGUGUGUAUGUGUAUGUGUGUGUUUCUGUUUGGCAGUUUAUGGUUGGAAACACUCCUAAAAAAGGAAAUCUAAAAAACACACAAAAUGCAAAAAUAUAUUUGAUUAGUAAGAAAUUUCUGCAUGUCCAAAAAAUUGCUAAAAAUAUUAAAAUUGUAGUUGAAAUAGCAGCUCAUAAAACAAAGUAAACAAAAAUACUAAACAAAAGAAACAGGCCAGGUGCAGUGGCUCACGCCUGUAAUCCCAGCACUUUGGGAGGCCAAGGCAGGAGGACUGUUUGUGUCCAGGAGUUCAAGACCAACCUAGACAACAUAGCAAGACCCCGUCUCUACAAAAAAAUUAAAAAUUAGCCGAGCAUGGUGAUGCAUGCCUGUAGCCCUAGUUCCUCAGGAGACUGAGGUGGGAGGAUCACUUGAGCUCAAGAGAUCAAGGCUGCAGCGAAGCCAUGUUAAUGCCACUGCACUGUAGUCUGGGUGAUACAGUGAGAUGCUGUUUCAAAAAAGAAAAAGGAAAAGAAUACUCGAGCUCCACUUCCCCACCACAGAAAUCUAACUGGCAACUACCCACAGACGGGAAUACCCUCAAGAAUAUAUAUUCCAGAAACAGGAGGAAUGUUGCCCAGGCUGGAGUGCAGUGGAGUGAUCUCGGCUCACUACAACCUCUGCCUCCUGGGUUCAUGCAAUUCUCCUGCCUCAGCCUCCCAAGUAGCUGAGAUUACAGGUGCCUGCCACCACACCCGGUUAAUUUUUUGUAGUUUUAGUAGAGAUGGGGUUUCACCAUGUUGGCCAGGCACUGACUUUUGACAAAGGCACAAAGAACAUGCCAAGGGGAAAGAACAGUCUAUUCAAUAAAUGGUUCUGGGGAAAGUGGCUAUUCAUAUGCAGAAAAUAAAAUUAGACUCUUAUCUUACACCAUGCCCCAAAAUCAACCCAAAAUGGAUCAAAGACUUAAACAUUAGGCCGGAAACUAAAAUUACUAUAAGAAAGCACAGAGAGGCCGGGCGCGAUGGCUUACGCCUGUAAUCCUAGCACUUCGGGAGGCCGAGGCGGGCGGAUCAGGAGGUCAGGAGAUCGAGACCAUCCUGGCUAACACGUCUCUACUAAAAUAUUUGAAAAACUAGCCGGGCGAGGUGGCGGGCGCCUGUAAUCCCAGCUACUCGGGAGGCUGAGGCAGGAGAAUGGCAUGAACCCGGGAGGCGGAGCUUGCAGUGAGCGGAGAUCCGGCCACUGCACUCCAGCCUGGGUGACAGAGCGAGACUCCGUCUCAAAAAAAAAAAAAAAAAAAAAAAAAGCACAGAGGAAAAGCUCCAUGACACUGAUGUGGGCAACGAUUUUUUUGGGUAUGCCUCCAAAAGCACAGGCAACAAAAGCAAACAUAGAAACAGGAUGGCAUCAAACUAAAAAGCUUCUGCACAGCAAAAGGCACAAGUAAUAAAGAGACAACCCACAUCGUAAGAAAAAAUAUCUGCAAACCAUACAUUAGAAAAGGAACUAAUAUUAAAAAUAUAUAAGGAACUCAGUCAACUCAACAGCAAAAGAACAAGCCAAUACAAGAAUGAACAAAGGAACCAAACAUAUUUCUCCAAAGCAGACAUAUAAACAGCCAACAGGUUCAUGAAAAAAUGCUACCUCAAAGGCAGAUCCUGGGACCAGUAACAUCAGUAUUAUCUGGAAGUUUGUUCUAAAGGCAAAAUAUCAGGCCCCACUGCAGACCCACUUACCUGGAAGCUGCAUUUUGACAAGAUUCCCAGGUGAUCCAUAUGCACAUUAAAGUUUGAGAUGCUUACUAUAGACAGCAAGUACUGAAGAAGCUCUGGGGCC